rnacentral:lncRNA from 1 species
CAGAUUUGUAAAAAAUAAAACCUUUUUUUGGUGUAGAUAACAUUUACCAGACAGAAUGAAGAAAUGAACGGCUAAUUCAAUUGUUUUGUUUUCAUUUUAGUAACAUCUUUCAUGGUAAAUACAUGGAUCUUAUUAACGAAAUAAAACAUUUAAAUACUUAACUUGCUCUAAAAUAACUUGACAGAGUCACACUCGUAAAACAUGUGUAUAAUAGCUUCCCCUUCUUUAUCACAGAAAAUGCAUCAUUAUGUUCUCUAAGUCCAUGAAUUUAGACAAGUUAUUGCAAGGGUAUAUUUUGAACAAGAUUUUAAAGGGAGCAACCAAGCUUUCUUCCAUUCAAUUUCAGUAGAUCUAUGAAUUCCAGAAGAAUUUCCCUCUAUGAGGGAUCUUGUUCAUGGAGUUCAAGUUAUCUUAAGAAUGUAUUACAUUUCUUAUCCAGCAGGGGGCAACCUUUUAACAUUGUGCAUCUAUCAUGACAUGUUCUCCAAAGCAAAAAAUGCGAUUUAAUUAAGUCCUGAAGGUAUUGGUUUGAAUAUAGAAUUACAUCAUUACUGUAUUUUUACAACUAUCGUAGGUUUAUACAAUUGUAACCCCUUAUUUUAGGUACUUACAUUUUUUAAACUCAAUUCAUAUGUAGUGAUUUGUAUUUAUUUUUUUACUUUUUGUUUCUUCAGAUAAAAUAUAUGCGUAGUGAUGUCCUAUGUAUUUUUUGUGGUAUUAUAAUAUAUACAAUUGAUUUAGUGAAGGCGGAGGCACUUGGUCAUGGCUAGAAGGGACCCAGCGUUUGUCAAAUUAACGUCAGAUUUGAUUUAUUUUAAGCAGGUUAGGAGAACACACUGCAGGUUAGGAGAACACGCUGCAGGUUAGGAGAACACGCUGCAGGUUAGGAGAACACGCUGCAGGUUAGGAGAACACGCUGCAGGUUAGGAGGACACGCCGCAGGUUCAGGUUAGGAGAACACGCUGCAGGUUAGGAGAACACGCCGCAGGUUAGGAGAACACGCUGCAGGUUAGGAGAACACGCUGCAGGUUAGGAGAACACGCUGCAGGUUAGGAGAACACGCUGCAGGUUAG